GAAUUUUGGGCAAUGGCCGAAAGGCUGACCCAGCGACGCCGCGUGCGGGAUGACGCUUUUCGGAGUGUAAACCGCUGUCCGGGGGGACGACACGCCGGAGUGGGAAUACUGCUUCGGUUUGACGGUACCCUCAAAGGAAGCACCGGCUAACCCCGUGCCAGCAGCCGCGGUAAUACGGAGGGUGCGAGCGUUGUUCGGAAUCACUGGGCGUAAAGCGCGCGCAGGCGGGACCUGCAAGUCGGAAGUGAAAUCCCGGGGCUCAACUCCGGGGCUGCUUUCGAAACUGCGGACCUAGAGACCAGUAGGGGUUGGUGGAAUUCCCAGUGUAGCGGUGGAAUGCGGAGAUAUUGGGAAGAACACCCGUGGCGAAGGCGGCCAACUGGGCUGGAUCUGACGCUGAGGCGCGAAAGCGUGGGGAGCAAACAGG
rnacentral:rRNA from 1 species